rnacentral:rRNA from 1 species
AGAGUUUGACUCCUGGCUCAGGACGAACGCUGGCGGCGCGCCUAACACAUGCAAGUCGAACGAGAGAGAGGAAGCUUGCUUCCUCAAUCGAGUGGCGAACGGGUGAGUAACGCGUGAGGAACCUGCCUCAAAGAGGGGGACAACAGUUGGAAACGACUGCUAAUACCGCAUAAGCCCACAGCUCGGCAUCGAGCAGAGGGAAAAGGAGCAAUCCGCUUUGAGAUGGCCUCGCGUCCGAUUAGCUGGUUGGUGAGGUAAUGGCCCACCAAGGCGACGAUCGGUAGCCGGACUGAGAGGUUGAACGGCCACAUUGGGACUGAGACACGGCCCAGACUCCUACGGGAGGCAGCAGUGGGGAAUAUUGCACAAUGGGGGAAACCCUGAUGCAGCGACGCCGCGUGGAGGAAGAAGGUCUUCGGAUUGUAAACUCCUGUUGUUGAGGAAGAUAAUGACGGUACUCACCAAGGAAGUGAUGGCUAACUACGUGCCAGCAGGCGCGGUACAACGUAGGUCACAAGCGUUGUCCGGAAUGACUGGGUGUACAGGGAGCGCAUGCGGGAAGACAAUUUGGAAGUGAAAUCUAUGGGCUCAACCCAGUAUCUGCUCUCAAAAGUGUUCCUCUUGAGUACUGCAGAGGUAGGCGGAAUUCCCGGUGUAGCGGUGGAAUGCGUAGAUAUCGGGAGAACACCAGUGGCGAAGNCGGCNUACUGGGCACCAACUGACGCUGAGGCUCGAAAGUGUGUGUAGCAAACAGGAUUAGAUACCCUGGUAGUCCACACCGUAAACGAUGAUUACUAGGUGUUGGAGGAUUGACCCCUUCAGUGCCGCAGUUAACACAAUAAGUAAUCCACCUGGGGAGUACGACCGCAAGGUUGAAACUCAAAGGAAUUGACGGGGGCCCGCACAAGCAGUGGAGUAUGUGGUUUAAUUCGACGCAACGCGAAGAACCUUACCAAGUCUUGACAUCCCUUGACGAACAUAGAAAUAUGUUUUCUCUUCGGAGCAAGGAGACAGGUGGUGCAUGGUUGUCGUCAGCUCGUGUCGUGAGAUGUUGGGUUAAGUCCCGCAACGAGCGCAACCCUUACUGUCAGUUACUACGCAAGAGGACUCUGGCAGGACUGCCGUUGACAAAACGGAGGAAGGUGGGGAUGACGUCAAAUCAUCAUGCCCUUUAUGACUUGGGCUACACACGUACUACAAUGGCGUUAAACAAAGAGAAGCAAGACCGCGAGGUGGAGCAAAACUCAGAAACAACGUCCCAGUUCGGACUGCAGGCUGCAACUCGCCUGCACGAAGUCGGAAUUGCUAGUAAUCGUGGAUCAGCAUGCCACGGUGAAUACGUUCCCGGGCCUUGACACACCGCCCGUCAA